GGCGAGAUGCCUGAGGUUUAGGGGGUAGAUUGUAAAUCUAUUAACGGGGUUUAUCCUCUCUCACCA
rnacentral:tRNA from 1 species